UGCCACCUUUUCAUCUUGUAGAUGAGCUCGGUGUUAAGCUGCAGGUCGCCCGCUCUGCAUAUGUAAAAGUCUAUAUUAAGCUGCCUAGAUCUCUUCGCGUCUCUAUGCAUCGCGAGAUAUCUCUCUGUAAACCCAACUAUAUUAAUUAUAUAAUUAUUUUAAAUGUUUUAAUGAUAACACGCGUGUUUCUUAGGUAACGCUACAUGCCACGGCGCCCUUAUUGACUUUCAAGGUGUUUGUUUUGCCGAUUCGACCACGGAUGAUGUUCCCCGCGAACCGAGUGAUGAUCAGAUCAUAGACCUGACCAUCGAACACGAGGAGGAAGUGAUAGAACUUUCAGAUCCCUUGUGGGAGGAGGGGUUCAACGGCGACGAGGCAGAGGUCCUACCGCUAUACGAAAACUGUCUUGGGUGUAACGAAUGUGAGCCCGGCUGUAGCACCUCGCAGCAGAACGGUUGGGAUCGGACAUCUGGGGCUAGCGAGCAUAGCGCGAAUGCUGAUGAUGAUGAGGCGGACUGGUCCAGGUCGCAGAUAAAC